rnacentral:lncRNA from 1 species
UUUCAUUGCAUAAUAAAUGUACAAAUUCAAUAACAAAAAAAAUCAAAAGGAAAGAAUGGAUCUCAUGUUGGCAAUAAACUUGAUAAAAUUAGUGGUGUAUAAUGCAACGGUGGUGAUAGCGGAUGAGAACUGAGCAGAAUGGAAGUAGUGGUAAACAGAGUUGUAGCGGUGAUCAAACCAAACUCCAAGUUCGGCCUGACGGCAAUGACGACGAAUGCUGCACCCAAAGAACCGCGAACGUUGACUCCCCAAAAUAUGAGAAAUGGCGCAUGGGAGCUGGUUCCACCUUACUUGUCGCAAAAUCUGGUGAGUUGUCGCUGGAACAUGGAACAUGGGAGCAUGGGAGCUGGUUCCACCUUACUUGUAGCAGAAUCUGGUGAGUUGUCGCUGGUUACACACGAUCAAAUACAAACCGAACGGAGAGAUUGA